rnacentral:rRNA from 1 species
GACGAACGCUGGCGGCGUGCUUAACACAUGCAAGUCGAACGAUGAUGCUGGAGCUUGCUCCAGUUGAUUAGUGGCGAACGGGUGAGUAACACGUGAGCAAUCUGCCCUUGACUCUGGGAUAACUGCGGGAAACUGUAGCUAAUACCGGAUACUUUCACCGGAAGGCAUCUUCUGGUGAUGAAAGAAUUUCGGUCAGGGAUGAGCUCGCGGCCUAUCAGCUUGUUGGUGAGGUAACGGCUCACCAAGGCGACGACGGGUAGCCGGCCUGAGAGGGUGACCGGCCACUCUGGGACUGAGACACGGCCCAGCCUCCUACGGGAGGCAGCAGUGGGGAAUAUUGCCCAAUGGGCGCAAGCCUGAUGCAGCAACGCCGCGUGAGGGAUGAAGGCCUUCGGGUUGUAAACCUCUUUUAGCAGGGAAGAAGCGAAAGUGACGGUACCUGCAGAAAAAGCACCGGCUAACUACGUGCCAGCCGCCGCGGUAA